rnacentral:piRNA from 2 species
UGGUUUUGAGAAGGAACCGGCCUCAUU